CUAUUGUCUCUGAUGCAAACAUCAUAAUGGAGUCAUUACCAAGGAAACACAGUCAUGUUAAGUUGCUGUCUGUCAUUUCAGGUUUGAGGUUAGUCAACUACAUUCCUCUUGUGCCUGGAGUUAAUAUGAUGCUUAGAGGGUGAUGCAAAUGGUGGAGAGAGGUUUAUUUCAUGACUUGGGUUUGUCUUGGUGGCCUGCCAUUGUCCAUUCAUUGAAGGAUCUGGCUUAUCUCUACCAUAAUGGCAUUUGAACAGCAUUCUAGGUGAACCCUACCGGACAAGCCACUUUGUAGUCUCUGCAUUAGUGCUUCUACCAUAAUUCUUCUAUAAUCCACCAAUACUGUCUUUGGGCUGAUGGCUGCACCCACUCUAAGUGACCACAACAGCCUUUGGGCGUACCCCUGCUGAUUCCAGGGCCAAAAGAAUCUCCUAGGUUGUCCCCAGUCCUCUCCCUUUAUACUCUGAGAUGGCCACACCAUCUGCUGGCACAGUCAGCUGCUUUCCAAAGACUUCCCUUGAGAAUUGAGGCUCAGGUUCUCCUAACUUUGAAUCCAACAACUUAAACGGAGGGCUGAAGGAAUUUUGGGGUCCCCGCGGAGGCUGAGGUUGAAGGAGGAAGGGGUUGGAACAUAGUCUCCGCACUUCUCUCCUUAGUGGGUAACUCUCAUGGCUUGUCUCUGUUCUGUGUCUACUAUCUUUUCCUUCCUAGCCACAGCAUUCUCUCUCUAGACUGAUGUGGGGGUGAAGAAUCAGGAUGACAACAUCUACUUCCUAAUUCUUCGGCCUUAUUCAUGGAUCUGAAAUGUUUGAGCUCACUCGUUCAGCUGUUCCUUUUGAAAUUCUUCCUUAGAGCAAAGUGGCCUCUGGGUUCCCAGCCUGUCAAGGUGAGAGUCAAUUGUUUGCCAUCCCUUAGUGUGCUGGCACAGUGUUGCUCUGACCUCUGAAAACUGCCACCUAGCCCUGGUGUUUUUGAUGCUGAAUGUGUAAGUUAUCGUUGCCCUUUGCAGCAUGACGAUAGAACUAAAGGUCCAAAUAACUCAUGAUACUGAUACAAGAGUUAACAUUUAUUGUUUACUGUGCACUGGACAUCGUUCUAAAAUUUUACAGGUAAUAUGGAAUUUAACACCUAUAAUUUGGAGG
rnacentral:lncRNA from 1 species